GUAGUUAUAAUCAGCUGUUAAAGGAAAGUUCUGUCGCAAUCUAUACAUCUGAAUAACAAGCCAACGAAAUCAACAGUGUUGACGUGCAUGUACCAGCUAUGAGGAUACAAACGCCCCCAAUGCUGGCGACGUCGAGCCUCGAUCUCAUAUCCUCUGAUAUAUUAUUAGUUCACACCAAUGCCGCAGCGACACCAAAACGUGUGACUGGUAGCCUAUAUAGUUUAAAUUCCUUUUAUUUCAACAAGAGUUUACUUGUAUGCCACUUAUAAUAAAUUAGCAAUGUUUCACACACAGAUAAAGAUUCUUUAUUGCACUGUUUAGGGAACAUUUCAAGGUGUAGAACACAGAUUAUUGCAAAAACUAUAUAGUAUGGUGGGGGAAGAUGGGGCACCCUUUUCGUUCUAUUUUCUCGUAAACAACGAACAUUCAAAAAAAUAUUAAAACGUAUCUUCACCACUAUC